CGUAGGGGGCUAGCGUCGUCCGGAAUCAUUGGGCGUAAAGCGCGCGUAGGCGGCCCGGUAAGUCCGCUGUAAAAGUCAAAGGCUUAACCUUUGAAUGUCAGUGGAUACUGCCGGGCUAGAGUCCGGAAGAGGCGAGUGGAAUUCCUGGUGUAGCGGUGGAAUGCGCAGAUAUCAGGAGGAACACCAACGGCGAAGGCAGCUCGCUGGGACGGUACUGACGCUGAGGCGCGAAAGCGUGGGGAGCAAACAGGAUUAGAUACCCUGGUAGUCCACGCCGUAAACGAUGGGCACUAGGUGUGGGAGGUGUCGACUCCUCCCGUGCCGGCGCUAACGCAUUAAGUGCCCCGCCUGGGGAGUACGGCCGCAAGGCUA
rnacentral:rRNA from 1 species